rnacentral:rRNA from 1 species
CUACGGGGGGCUGCAGUGGGGAAUAUUGGGCAAUGGGCGCAAGCCUGACCCAGCAACGCCGCGUGAGGGAAGAAGGUUUUCGGAUUGUAAACCUCUGUCCUUGGGGACGAAGAAGUGACGGUACCCAAGGAGGAAGCUCCGGCUAACUACGUGCCAGCAGCCGCGGUAAUACGUAGGGAGCAAGCGUUGUCCGGAAUUACUGGGCGUAAAGGGUGCGUAGGCGGCAUAGUAAGUCAGGUGUGAAAUACUCGGGCUCAACCCGAGGGGUGCAUUUGAAACUGAUAAGCUUGAGUGUGAGAGAGGAAAGUGGAAUUCCUAGUGUAGCGGUGGAAUGCGUAGAUAUUAGGAGGAACACCAGUGGCGAAAGCGACUUUCUGGCUCAUAACUGACGCUGAGGCACGAAAGCGUGGGGAGCAAACAGGAUUAGAUACCCCCGUAGUC